rnacentral:misc_RNA from 1 species
GAUGAAGAACGCAGCGAAAUGCGAUAAGUAGUGUGAAUUGCAGAAUUCAGUGAAUCAUCGAAUCUUUGAACGCACAUUGCGCCCCCUGGUAUUCCGGGGGGCAUGCCUGUUCGAGCGUCAUUUCACCACUCAAGCCUCGCUUGGUAUUGGGCAACGCGGUCCGCCGCGUGCCUCAAAUCGACCGGCUGGGUCUUCUGUCCCCUAAGCGUUGUGGAAACUAUUCGCUAAAGGGUGUUCGGGAGGCUACGCCGUAAAACAACCCCAUUUCUAAGGUUGACCUCGGAUCAGGUAGGGAUACCCGCUGAACUUAAGCAUAUCAAUAAGCGGAGG